rnacentral:lncRNA from 1 species
GGGCUUCACUACUGUGAGUUUCACUACUGCAGGUCAAAUUCAAGAUGCCAAAAUUUAAUAAGUCUCAUAUUUCAAUGGCAACAGAUUGGUACUAGAAAGAGAGAAACUUGACCUAAUUGUGAGGAGCAAAAGAUUGAGACUAUGACCCCACAUAGGAUGUAUUUCGAUGAUCCAACACCGUUUCUACCUCUCAACCUAUGGAGAA